rnacentral:rRNA from 1 species
UACGUAGGGUGCGAGCGUUGUCCGGAAUUAUUGGGCGUAAGGAGCUCGUAGGCGGUGUGUCACGUCGGCCGUGAAAACCUGCAGCUUAACUGUGGGCGUGCGGUCGAUACGGGCAUCACUGGAGUUCGGCAGGGGAGACUGGAAUUCCUGGUGUAGCGGUGAAAUGCGCAGAUAUCAGGAGGAACACCGGUGGCGAAGGCGGGUCUCUGGGCCGAUACUGACGCUGAGGUGCGAAAGCGUGGGGAGCAAACAGG